rnacentral:misc_RNA from 1 species
AAGUCGUAACAAGGUUUCCGUAGGUGAACCUGCGGAAGGAUCAUUACCGAUUUUAUUAUUGUGGAAAAACAAAAUGCGCAUGGUAGGGUAAAAUCUCCAUGUUGCUACCAUUUCUACAGAAUCUUUAUAUGAUAGAAAGAAUCUGUAGCGUGUAUUUACCAGUGUUGUGAUACACGUUAAACUUUUAUAAUGAUGAUUUUGAGUUGUAUUGAAUGAAACUUGAUCAUCAUGCUUCUCUUUUAUAAGAGAGCAUUGCAUAUUAUAAUACAAAAAAAAAUGUGAAUAUUUCUAUACAGAAAGAUUAAAAAAAAUUAAAAAAAAGACAACCUCGAGUGGUGGAUCACUCGGCUCGUGG